rnacentral:rRNA from 1 species
GACGAACGCUGGCGGCGUGCUUAACACAUGCAAGUCGAACGAUGAAGCCUCUUCGGGGGUGGAUUAGUGGCGAACGGGUGAGUAACACGUGAGUAACCUGCCCUUCACUUCAGGAUAAGCCUUGGAAAACGGGGGUCUAAUACUGGAUAUGACUCAGGCCCGCAUGGGUUUGGGUGGAAAGAGUUUUUGGUGGGGGAUGGGCUCGCGGCCUAUCAGCUUGUUGGUGAGGUAGUGGCUUACCAAGGCGACGACGGGUAGCCGGCCUGAGAGGGUGACCGGCCACACUGGGACUGAGACACGGCCCAGACUCCUACGGGAGGCAGCAGUGGGGAAUAUUGCACAAUGGGCGCAAGCCUGAUGCAGCGACGCCGCGUGAGGGAUGAAGGCCUUCGGGUUGUAAACCUCUUUCGUCAGGGAAGAAGCGAAAGUGACGGUACCUGAAGAAGAAGCACCGGCUAACUACGUG